UACAGAGGUUUCAAGCGUUGUUCGGAUUCAUUGGGCGUAAAGGGUGCGUAGGCGGCGCGGUAAGUCGGGUGUGAAAUCUCGGAGCUUAACUCCGAAACUGCAUUCGAUACUGCCGUGCUUGAGGACUGGAGAGGAGACUGGAAUUUACGGUGUAGCGGUGAAAUGCGUAGAUAUCGUAAGGAAGACCAGUGGCGAAGGCGGGUCUCUGGACAGUUCCUGACGCUGAGGCACGAAGGUCAGGGGAGCAAACGGG
rnacentral:rRNA from 1 species